AUCCAGCUGAGGAGUUUCAGAUAGGAUGAAACGCGUGUCCUGAAU
rnacentral:hammerhead_ribozyme from 1 species